CCUACGGGAGGCAGCAGUAGGGAAUAUUCGGCAAUGGGGGGAACCCUGACCGAGCAACGCCGCGUGAACGAAGAAGUUAUUCGUAAUGUAAAGUUCUUUUAACAGGGACGAAACAGAAAUUUGACGCUACCUGAAGAAUAAGCUCCGGCUACCUACGGGCCAGCAGCCGCGUUAGUACGUAGGAAGCGAGCGUUAUCGGGAAUUAUUGGGCGUAAAGGGUGGGUGGGUGGCAUAGUAAGUAUUUGGGAAAAAUGCUGGGCUAAACUCAGUAGUGCAAAAGAUACUGCAAAGCUAGAGUAUGAGAGAGGCAAGUGGAACGACAUGUGUAGCGGUAAAAUGCGUAAAUAUAAGUAAGAACACCAGUGGCGAAGGCGGCUUGCUGGGUAGAAACUGACAUUGAGGCACGAAAGCGUGGGGAGCAAACAGGAUUAGAUACCCUGGUAGUC
rnacentral:rRNA from 1 species